UAUAUCUCAAUGCUGUUUUCUGACAUUCUCUUUUUUGGUAGAUGAGAAAUGGGCAAAGCAUUCCAUUCAUUCCUUUUCUUAUGAUGACUGAUUGCAAAAGGCUUCCUUGCACAUGUUCUGCUGAGAUGAGGAGGAGGAGGAGGAGAAGGAAGAGAAAAUGGAACAGUGAGCCACAGACGGCUAAUCACGUCCGGAACCAAAAGCACCUGCCCUAUCUGCCUCUACAUUUGGUGAGGAAUCUUUAAAGAGGAUAAACCUCACUUUCAUGCUUGUCUUUUAUUCACGGUAAGUGCUUAUCGAAACCGAGCUGUUGCCACUGCCCCGUGUUCCCUCCC
rnacentral:lncRNA from 1 species